rnacentral:lncRNA from 1 species
UGACAUUAUAUGCUAGCUUGAAAAAUGGGUGUCUGAUUAUUUCUGGCUGGGUACUCGGCUGACAUAAUCUAAUGUUUUGCUUUCGCUGUAAAGCCUUUUUGAAAUCGGACAGUGUGGUUAGAUAAAGGAGAGUCUUGUCCUUAAAAUGCUGUGAAAUAGUCAUAUGUUUGAAAAAUUGAAGUUUUUGUAUUUUUGUAUUUUUGAGGAAUUUGUAAUUCGCGCCACGCCUAUCAUUGGAUAUUGGAGCAGGUGUUCCACUAGCAGAACGUCUAGAUGUAAGAGGUUAACCCUUCACAGUAAAAAGAAGGUGUUUAGAUCAAAAAGUGUGCAAUGACUUCUCUCCCCAUAGAAAUACAUUGACUAUUCUCAAAACAUCAACCUGAAGCCUAUGUGGGUUAUGAAUGCCUUAUGAACCUGUCUUCUAUAAAAAUCCAUCAGGCAACUGUGAGGUCUACCUGUGUAGAUUCUAAGGUUCCUGGAGCAACCGGAAGUUGCUAAAAUCACCCUAGAGCUACUGUCAUAUAAGCAACCUGCAGAUAGUGAAAAUCACGCAACUCAACCAUCUGUCAUUCAGUCAAUUCUUAAGGUAGAGACUUCAUAUUCAGGAUUCUGUUUAUGUCUACCCAAAAGACAACGUGUGUAGAGCAAGAGCUUCCUGUGACAACCGGAAGUUGUUAAAAACAGCCUAGAGCUAUUGUCAUAUAAAACGCACAUAGUGAAAAUCACGCAACUCAACCAUCUGUCAUUCAGUCAAUUUUUAAGGUAGAGACUUCAUAUUCAGGAUUCUGUUUAUGUCUACCCCAAAGACAACGUGUGUGGAGCAACAGCUUCCUGUGACAACCGGAAGUUGUUAAAAACAGCCUAAAGCAAUUGUCAUAUAAAAAGCACAUAGUGAAAAUCACGCAACUCAACCAUCUGUCAUUCAGUCAAUUCUUAAGGUAGAAACUUCAUAUUCAGGAUUCUGUUUAUGUCUACCCCAAAGACAACGUGUGUGGAGCAAGAGCUUCCUGUGACAACCGGAAGUUGUUAAAAACAGCCUAGAGCAAUUGUCAUAUAAAACGCACAUAGUGAAAAUCACGCAACUCAACCAUCUGUCAUUCAGUCAAUCCUUAAGGUAGAGACUUCAUAUUCAGGAUUCUGUUUAUCCCUACUCCAAAGACAACGUGUGUCUAUUCUUUUUGCCAAAAAAACUAAAACACACACACACACACACAAUUUGGCCAUAGGGACAUAGUGUGGGGCUUAGAGGCUUAUACCGCCUUCAAUAGUUAUUUUCGUUCAAACGAUUCAAGAACCUUUAGACCUAGAGCUCCGAAAUUUUAGAAACCUGUUCUAGAGCUCAAGUCGAUAGUGCACGGUGAUUUAUGUGGCUCUACAAGGUUCUCAGACCGAGAAACCGCCUCGUGCAUUUGCAAUAUGUUCAAUUCAUUUUGAAUAUCACGGACAUGGCGACAUGUAGAAAUGUCCCAGAGUCGCAAGACUAGGUGCAUUGAAACCACCUCGGCCCAUAGAGACGGACCCCAAUGUCUCUGUCCGAUAGCUCAUUCAGGGACCCCGUAGAUUGGUGACAUCUAGUGGAAGCAAUAGGAAGUGCCAAAAUAUUCCUAAGCCCCUGUGUUUUUCAAUGGGA